rnacentral:ncRNA from 1 species
GCCUGUAGGUACAGCCAAAUGUUCAUAGCAACGCCCCCUUCUGAUCCUUCGAUAUCGGCUCUUCCUAUCAUACUGAAGCAGAAUUCAGUAAGCGUUGGAUUGUUCACCCACAAAUGGGGAAUAUGAGCUGGGUUAGACCGUCGUGAAGCGGGUU